UCAGAGUUCUGCAGUCCCACGAUCUUCAUGAGUGGAAUGUGUGCUUCUAAGGGAGGUUUUGGAUAAAGGCCAGGUGCUGGGAACAUCUGUCGGAACAUCCCGACCGCUGGCAGAGCUUCUGCUUGGAGCUCAGCUAAAAACUUCGUGUGACCAGGCAGGUGUCUGUUCCUGUAUACAGCCCCCUCAGCUCUGUAAUUGUGGUGUUAACACUUUACCUCCACACUUGCCUGGUGCCAGGGUGGAUGAAAACAAAGUGUGUUUGCUUGAGGAAGACCCUUUUCCAAGCUGGACAUUUUAUCUUCUUUUAGUGCAACUGAAAAACAGGUGUGGUGUUCUUCACCCAAGGAGUUUGUUUCUAGACAGAGUAAGAUCCACCACUGCUAAGUGUAGCUGUUGUGCACCUGCACAAUUUUUUCCCGAAACUGUGGGGCGUCAGAGAUGAAGUCCUGUUCAUAGGUCAUCCAUAAGGGAAACUGGAUGUUAAAUUCUAAACUUCUAACUAGAGUAACAUUUUACUUCUUAAUUUCAUGCCAGAGGUUAGGUCUAGUCUUGAAAGCACCUCCUGUGCAAUGUAGAACUGAGCCCAGAGAAAGGAAAUGAAAUCAGAAAUGGAGAAAAGUUAUUUUAAUCAUAAAUAGUUGUGGUAGAAAGGUAGAUGUUUAUAUGUGCAAUAGUACAGUACCUACUGUGUGUAUUUUAGGAGAACCUGAGAAUAGCAGCUGCGCUGAAAUACUUGACAGUGAAGUCAAAUAUAGUUUAGGUUAAAAAAAAAAGUCUCUGGGGAGGGUGGAUUUUGCAGCGUGAAACCUGUCAGUGUUAUCUCUGCCGCGUGGCACAGAACAGCCUGUGACUCUGGCGCUUGUUUGCGAACGUGCAGUUCCUGUAAUGGGAUACGUCCCCUUCCUAUCAGUGUGGUAUUGUGCCUGGGUAAACCUCCCUGCCUCCCAAAUUUUCCCGAGAACCACAUUAGGCUGACAGCCUUGUUUCUGCAAAGGCUUCCUUUUCUGAGGUGUCACUGAUUUUGCAGCUGAUGGACCUGUUGAAUUUUAGAUCUACAGGGCUCAGAAGAAGCAAAGCUGCUGGCACUAAAACUAGAGCUCUUGCUAAUGUGUUGAGGUCAAAAGGAUCAAAACCUAAAUUAAGUUUGUUCCUGAAAUUUGGCUGUGAAUCACAAAUUCAGGAAGUUGUACAUGAAAAUCAGUCUAGGUAGUGUUUCUUAAGAGAUCUUCAGCUAAAAAUAAUGUAUUGUGCUAUAGUUAUAAAUAAUAUGGGUUGGGUUUUUUUUUCUUCCCCUGUCUAAUUAAAUUGUUACUCUUGCCACAACGAAAGGAAAGGGAAAAGAUAAUAACAUGAAUCUGGUUGAACAAGUACGUAGCUUGCAGGUUUCAGCUAGAGUGUUUGCAGCUGCAGCUGGUGCUGAACCUUACACUCAUGCAUUUAAUUGUCAAAAUGAAAAUAGGGUGCUCUGGAGAGAUCAACAGUGGUUUCUGUGUGUCCAUCAUUUGGGAAACCCUUCUGAAAGCUCACCCAAAGUGGGUUUCUCCUGCACUGUCAAAAAACAGAAGAAAAGAAUUUUUUUUCUUCUUCCUUCCCCCUCCCCGACCUCCCCGCAGGUAACUGCAGUGGUUUUUGUAAAAUUGUGGUUGAACUGCAUGGUAGGGUGUUUUGAUGGACUCUGGUGUCCUAUUAAAGUGAGAAACAGUGGUCACAGAUAGCUCUGCCAUUUUAGAGUGACACUUUGGCAGGUUUGCUGCAGGUAAAUAGUGGAUAAAGCUGGAAAAAAGAACUUUUCUGCCUCUUGGCCAUGGUACUGAGAUGCUCUUUGAAAGCCAAGUGGGCAACCUGGCCAUGGCCAUCUGCCUACUAAACAGUAGGGAUGGCCAGCAGCCUGGCAAGACAGUAUUUAUCACACCUAUUGCUGCUGCUGCAUUAGUGUCCAGGAAAGUUUUGUGUAUUUUGCUGCUUAGGCUUGUCAGUGGCUGCUGGGGCCUUUUAACAGUGUUCAGGGUUUGUGGUGGAUUCUGGGGACCAUGGGAGAGGUCAUUAACAAGGUUCGGCUCCUUGGAGAGCAACGAUAAUGGCCAGUGAAAGCGGUAAUCCCAGAAACCUAAGGGGAUAAUGACAGGCAAUAACAUGGCUGCCAAACUUUAAGCUUAAUCACAACAUCUUUCAGGUGUUCAGAGAGUUAUUUUUCUCAAAGAAGGCCAUGGUGAGGGAAAAAGAAGGGUUAUACAAAGCAGGGUACCACAGAGAAACUGGCCUGUGUGGGUGAUAGAGCUGGGCACAGGCUCAGAGAUUUAUUGCGCUGAAAUUUGCUGUCACUCAAAAAAAAA